UGUAUCCUUUCAAGGCCUAACUUCCCCUACCAUGAUAGCAGCUGGAGCUCUAAUUCACAGGUGCCUUCCAAAGCUUUUCAUUAGCAACAGAAAUGAGAUGGUUUAGAAACUCAUUUCUUAAUCUGCAGAACAGGAAAAAGAAGAAUUCCAAAAUUUGGAGGCUUUAGCGUGUGUUCUGGUUCAACUGGCCAGACGAGAACUUCGGAGUGAGGCUGGCCUUCCCCAGCUGGGCUCUGUGGCAGCUAAGCCUCUCCACAAAUCCUGGGCUUAAUUACUUCUGACACAGUUGUCUCACCUGGGCCUACAGCUCCUUUUGUGCUCCAACCAAGCUGAAUCCAAAGUUCUUCUGGAACAUUUUAUUUUUGACAGUCAACUCAUUUGGAGGAAUGCCACACUGAGGUUCAACUGUUUACAGCGUUAACUGUGUUUCUGCCAGAAGUCCACAUCCAGCACUACCUUCUCCACACUGCCUCCAGGA